rnacentral:lncRNA from 1 species
CAGUGUUUUGCCACAAUCUGCUCAGUUGUAACAAAUCCCGGUUUUGGAGUUUAUAUUUUCUAUAGGACAAUACGUGACUUCUGGAACAAUUUACUCUGCCCCCACGAAGUAUUUGCUAAGGAAGACAAUCCCUGUGGAGCUGAUAGCUGUGGACUAAUGACUGGUAUACCAAGCAGAUAAGCUGUGGACAUUUUUCAGUGUUAACAUAAUGACUUUCAUCAAAGGAGGAAGAAGUCUACUUAUUUUUCAUUUUGUUAAGCAAGUGGAGAAACUCCUCCAGACGUAGUCGCUGCAGAAGCCUGGGGUCAGUGCACAGCUCGCUGCCUGCGGGAACCACCUUCUUUACAGGCUUCUGAAAAAUAAGCACAUUGCUCAGCCAUGUUAGGUCUUUCAUGUUGCGUGCUCCACACUAAAGAAAUAAGCUAGCAUUGUGAAAGAGACUGCCUGGUGACCGUCCCACCAUCUCUGUUGCUCACAGGAAACCACUACUGCUGCACUUGGGACAACACUGAUUCUUCUGUGUCUGAAGUUGUGGCUUCAAAUUGCAGUAAAGCUGAUAAAAUAACCAGCUGCUGUGAAAAGAAGUGUCCUCAUACUUCCCCUCUUGCAUGUAAUCUCCCUUGUGCUAGCUGUGGUCUGUGCCUGGUCCCAUGGUAAACUGGUGCAGGGAGAUGGCCAGCAACAUGCCACCCUCCUCAAAGAAGUAGUUCUCAGUGUGGAGUUGUCUUAGUCAAGUUUGUCAUUAAACAGCAGCAAGCACAAGAAACUACUGAGCAUUUUUUUCACAUGUGCAGGAAAAGAUUGAGGUUGUUUUAUUAUUUUACAAACCAAAAGAUCCAAAAUACCCCGUAUGGUAUUUUAUUACAUUAUCUCUUAUUCCUUGGAACCUAUCAUAGAAGGCCUCAUAUUAAAUAAAUAAAUAAAUAAAUAAAUAAAUAAAUAAAUAAAUAAAUAAAGGGAAUAUAGCAAACAAACCAAACCAGUAGGCUAGGAGCUGGAAAACAAAACCAUCUAAAUAUAAAUAAAUUGUGGAC